GAUGAACGCUAGCGGCAGGCUUAAUACAUGCAAGUCGAGGGGCAGCACGGGUAGCAAUACCUGGUGGCGACCGGCAAACGGGUGCGGAACACGUACGCAACCUUCCCAAAACUGGUGAAUAGCCCUCCGAAAGGAGGAUUAAUACACCGUACCAUAAUGAAGAGGCAUCUCUUUAUUAUUAUAGGCUUCGGUCGGUUUUGGAUGGGCGUGCGCCUGAUUAGGUAGUUGGCGGGGUAACGGCCCACCAAGCCUACGAUCAGUAACUGGUGUGAGAGCACGACCAGUCACACGGGCACUGAGACACGGGCCCGACUCCUACGGGAGGCAGCAGUAAGGAAUAUUGGUCAAUGGACGCAAGUCUGAACCAGCCAUGCCGCGUGAAGGAUGAAGGUCCUCUGGAUUGUAAACUUCUUUUAUCUGGGACGAAAAAGCUCAUUCUUGAGCACUUGACGGUACCAGAGGAAUAAGCACCGGCUAACUCCGU
rnacentral:rRNA from 1 species